AGAGUACCAAACUCCUUUGUAAUUAACCAAAAAAGAAAAAAUAGAUUAAGGAAAUACAUGAGACAAACAUAGAGUUCCAGAAAUUAGAGAAAAAAAAUUACAAAAAAAAAAAGUUAAGGUGAAGAGGUGGCAACAAAAAAUUCUCACCUAUCAACUUAGAUGCAACAAAAAUGUCUACUUCCAUUCCUCUACUUCCAUCAACACAAAAAUGUCUAUAACAUAUAUUUAGCAUCUUCCACCAUAAAUCAAAUUUAUAGCUUUGAAAAUAAUAUGAAAAAUGUAACUGAGAGGGGAAAGAAAUUGCUUGGGUGUGGUUGCAAUCCAUCAAGGAUUGAGGGAGAAAGGUUUUAAUUCCAUACUAGAUAUUAGAGAAAAAAAAAAAGGUGAGAUGAAGAGAUGUAGGGAUUUUUGUUCUCUGGUGAAGAAGAUACAUGAAAAUAUAGAUGAAUUUUUUAUGGAGGAUUUAUAGAGAAACAUGGCCUGCAUAUAGCCAUUUU
rnacentral:lncRNA from 1 species